rnacentral:rRNA from 1 species
UACUCCUACGGGAGGCAGCAGUAGGGAAUCUUCCGCAAUGGGCGAAAGCCUGACGGAGCAACGCCGCGUGAGUGAUGAAGGUCUUCGGAUCGUAAAACUCUGUUAUUAGGGAAGAACAUAUGUGUAAGUAACUGUGCACAUCUUGACGGUACCUAAUCAGAAAGCCACGGCUAACUACGUGCCAGCAGCCGCGGUAAUACGUAGGUGGCAAGCGUUAUCCGGAAUUAUUGGGCGUAAAGCGCGCGUAGGCGGUUUUUUAAGUCUGAUGUGAAAGCCCACGGCUCAACCGUGGAGGGUCAUUGGAAACUGGAAAACUUGAGUGCAGAAGAGGAAAGUGGAAUUCCAUGUGUAGCGGUGAAAUGCGCAGAGAUAUGGAGGAACACCAGUGGCGAAGGCGACUUUCUGGUCUGUAACUGACGCUGAUGUGCGAAAGCGUGGGGAUCAAACAGGAUUAGAUACCCUGGUAGUCCACGCCGUAAACGAUGAGUGCUAAGUGUUAGGGGGUUUCCGCCCCUUAGUGCUGCAGCUAACGCAUUAAGCACUCCGCCUGGGGAGUACGACCGCAAGGUUGAAACUCAAAUGAAUUGACGGA